rnacentral:rRNA from 1 species
ACAAGCGGUGGAGCAUGUGGUUCAAUUCGAUGCAACGCGAAGACCUUACCUGGGCUUGAACCGCACCUGUAAACCUGUGGAAACACGGGUCCCUCCUUCGGGAGCAGGUGUAGAGGUGCUGCAUGGCUGUCGUCAGCUCGUGUCGUGAGAUGUUGGGUUAAGUCCCGCAACGAGCGCAACCCUUAUCAUUAGUUGCUACGCAAGGGCACUCUAAUGAGACUGCCGGUGACAAACCGGAGGAAGGUGGGGGAUGACGUCAAGUCCUCAUGGCCCUUAUGGGUAGGGCUUCACACGUCAUACAAUGGUCGGUACAGAGGGUUGCCAAGCCGCGAGGUGGAGCCAAUCCCAGAAAGCCGAUCGUAGUCCGGAUUGUUCUCUGCAACUCGAGAGCAUGAAGUCGGAAUCGCUAGUAAUCGCGGAUCAGAAUGUCGCGGUGAAUACGUUUCCGGGUCUU